rnacentral:lncRNA from 1 species
CUGCUAAUUUUAAACGAACCAACAAUGGACCGGAGUCAUUCCAUGCACAUUUUAAUGAACAAUUUUAUUCAAAACAUCCAAACAUGUUUAUUUAUGUUGACGUUGUAAAGAAGAUUCAGGCUACAACAUACAUCAAAAUCCGAUCUAUGGACACACCGGCUGCAGUUCGACGAUGGGAGAAAGAGAAAACUGACUAUCUUAUGGAGAAACAUGGCAUGUACCUAAGAGAGGAAAUUUCAAGGCAUGACUACAUCAAGACCGUUGCAUAUAAAUUUUGUGCCAGAAC